ensembl:snRNA U6 U6 spliceosomal RNA
UUGCUUGCUCAGCAGCACAUAUACUAAAUUUAGAGCAAUACAGAGAACCUUAACAUGGUCCCUGUGAAGAUGGUACUCAAAUUCAUGAAGCAUUCUGUAUUUUA